CUUGCAAUCAGUUUUUUCUUGAUUUACACAUGCAAGUAUCCGCACCCCUGUGAAAACGCCCUUAAAUUCCUCCUAGGAAUAAGGAGCUGGUAUCAGGCACAUCUUACUGCCCAAGACACCUAGCUACGCCACACCCACAAGGGACUUCAGCAGUGAUUAACUUUGAUUAUCAGUGACAGCUUGAUUCAGUUAAAGAAAACAGAGCCGGCUAAUCUGGUGCCAGCCGCCGCGGUUACACCACGUGGCUCAAAUUGACUUCUGUCGGCGUAAAGAGUGAUUUAAGAACCCCAAAAAUUGGCGUCAAAUUUUAACUAAGCUGUGACACGCUUGUCCCUUAGAAGCACUAAGACGAAAGUUACACCAACUAAACCAACUUGA
rnacentral:rRNA from 1 species